UACAGAGGUCCCAAGCGUUGUUCGGAUUCACUGGGCGUAAAGGGUGCGUAGGCGGUCGGGUAAGUCUGAUGUGAAAUCUCUGGGCUCAACUCAGAGUCUGCUGCAGAAACUGCCGUGCUGGAGUGUGGGAGAGGUGCGUGGAAUUCCUGGUGUAGCGGUGAAAUGCGUAGAUAUCGGGAGGAACACCUGUGGCGAAAGCGGCGCACUGGACCACAACUGACGCUGAGGCGCGAAAGCUAGGGGAGCAAACAGG
rnacentral:rRNA from 1 species